UACAGCUAUAUCACGUUGAAGCACCUGUUCCCGUACGAUCACUGAAGUUAAGCAACGUCGAGUCUGGUCAGUACCUAGGUGGGUGACUCCUUGGGAAUAUCAGGUACUGUAAG